GAUGAAGAACGUAGCGAAAUGCGAUAAGUAAUGUGAAUUGCAGAAUUCAGUGAAUCAUCGAAUCUUUGAACGCACAUUGCGCCCCCCAGUAUUCUGGCGGGCAUGCCUGUUCGAGCGUCAUUUCAACCAUCAAGCCCUGCUUGUGUUGGGGUCCUGCGGCUGCCCGCAGGCCCUGAAAACCAGUGGCGGGCUCGCUAGUCACACCGAGCGCAGUAGCACAUCUCGCUCAGGGCGUGCGGCGGGCUCCAGCCGUUAAAGCACCCACCUUUCGCAAGGUUGACCUCGGAUCAGGUAGGAAUACCCGCCGAACUUAAGCAUAUCAAUAAGCGGAGGA
rnacentral:misc_RNA from 1 species